UGGAGGGGGAGAUGUGCGUGGGAAGGAUGGUGGCGAAAGAGUGGAUUCAGAUUUCAGGUCGUUGGUAGUGGUGGUGGUAACGGAAGACAAUGAAUUGAGGUCGGAGGAAAAAGUGUGGAGGUGACGAGUUAUUGUUGCUACAGUGUUGCCGAAGGAGGGAGGGAGGGGAAGCGGUUCACAAUUCAAUUUUUUUUUUUUUAAUGCCAUGCUGGUGUGCAGGUUUUAUUAGUUAUGCUCAAAAUUGAUGUGUUGUAUCCGUGAGACAGACUGUGAUCAAGGAAGACUUUCUCCUUGCAGCCUUGUGAAUCGAUUCACGUCUAUUUUUUUUUAUAUUUUUUUUUUUAAAGAUUGA
rnacentral:lncRNA from 1 species